rnacentral:misc_RNA from 1 species
GAUGAAGAACGAAGCGAAAUGCGAUAAGUAGUGUGAAUUGCAGAAUUCAGUGAAUCAUCGAAUCUUUGAACGCACAUUGCGCCCCUUGGUAUUCCAUGGGGCAUGCCUGUUCGAGCGUCAUUUGUACCUUCAAGCUUUGCUUGGUGUUGGGUGUUUGUCUCGCCUUUGCGUGUAGACUCGCCUUAAAAUAAUUGGCAGCCGGCGUAUUGAUUUCGGAGCGCAGUACAUCUCGCGCUUUGCACUCAUAACGACAGCGUCCAAAAGUACAUUUUACACUCUUGACCUCGGAUCAGGCAGGGAUACCCGCUGAACUUAAGCAUAUCAAUAAGCGGAGGA